GGUUCUCUAUCUGGAGAUUGUUCCUUUUGGAGUCCUUCUGUGAGCCCAGGAUAUGGCAGGCUAAAUUGGGAAUGCAGAUUUUAUACAGACCAAGGAAGUAGCAUCUGCUCAUUGUCCUGAUCUGCUUUCAGUGAAGCUAUUGCAAAUAUAGACCCUGAAGUUAUUUUUCCAACUGAGGCAGCAUGAAUACCUGGCUGCACUCAGAAGAUGUCCAUGUAAACACACUACAGAUUUGACAUCUCAGUCUGGAGAGAGCACUUUUCAUCACAAAUAUCACUUAUUUCUAAAUCUCCCUGACACUGAAGAGAUUUCCAUGUGAAUAUUCGCCAUCAGGAGCAGCGAUGUGCUGGAGCAUUGCAGGAAAGUUGACAGAACAAUGCAAUAUGUAUAACAGCAAGAAAGAGUAGAUACUAACUGGCAUGAACAGAUCAGAGAGCAACACAUAAAGACAUCAGCAAUGCACCAAAGACCAGUGUAUGAUGCUGGUCAAGACCAUGGAGCAUGGUGGACUGCAGCACUGCUGAGGACAGGCAGAUGUGCUCCUACUGAAAUGGAGGUUCCCAGCCAAUUCAGCAGCUUUUUAUCAGCCUGGGUUUGUCAUCUGGUUCCAGCUGCUCCUGCAGAUGGUGAGAUAUCUGCCCUGGGUGCACGGGGCUGAGCUGGGCUGCUCUGAGCAGUCAGCUUGGCUCAUGUUGGCUCCGGCAGAAAGCAAAAAAGGAUUCUCAGAUGACUCUAUCAGGAGCAGAGAGAGGCGGAGCAGGGGGAGGCAGCACAGGACGGAGGUCAGUAAGCAAAUAACCACAUGUGCUCUCACAGUAAUGAAGUGGCUCUUUCUCUCUAAUCUUCCUUGAUGGGAAGCGACAGCCAGGAGAAUCAUUACUGGAGAUGCCAACUUGGGCAGUACAACAACAGAGGGAAGAUUAUUGCCUUAACGUUGUGCCCACUGUGACUUACAAGCAAAUGAGAUACAAAGGAAAUGAAAUGAGCUGACACCUACUUAGUCUCUUCAGAGAAGAAUAUUUACUUGGGUUUGUCUUGACGGCAGACUCGUAGGAUGGUGGGAGGUGAGAGAGGUUCUGGAAGGACCGGGAGAAGGACAGAUCGUAAGGUUCGGUGGCAGAAGUAAGGAUGUUGUUCAUCCGUGGCUUGUCUGCAAAGAAGAAAAAAAGAAAAAGACAUGUCCAGAGCAUGCAUCAAAACAAGCUGAGAGGGGUGAACUGUUCCCAUGGUGCUGGACAGGGAGAAGUGCUGUAACUGAGCCAUCCUCAGCGACAGCUCCUGGACAGGAACUGGCUCCAGCAGGUUGGAAUAAAAUGGAUUAUGUGGCUUUGCUUCCUUGUCCACAGUGAUCAUGGAGACAGGCAAACUGCUGCCUUGAAAGCCUCCAGACAGACCAACCAAGGGGUCUGGUGGAGUGAAAGUCAGCUCACUUACCGUGGAGGUCUCCAUCAUGGUGUGGUGGACUGACCCCAUUGCAUCCUGCACAAGUUCAUGCACCAUCACCUACCUUUACCCCUGCAAGAUACUUUUCCCAUCACCAUAGCCAUUGAAAUGUGUCUGUGAGUUCAUUUUAAUAAUCACAUUGCUCUUUCAUCAUGCCAGAACUCAGGUCACUGCUCCAAACCUGGAAGCUCCCAUACAAAACCCCAGUCCAUGGCCCAAGUAUUCUGGUGGGCUCUGGGGGUGGCCAUCCAUCCCCUGCUUGUGGUGAAGCAUGAAAUGCAGUUGUGCAGUUCACAUCUGGCUGCUGUCAGAAGAUGAAGAAGGCUUGGAGGGGUUCCUGAGGCACAGAAGCAGGGCUGGAGGAUGCUGCCCUCUGCUUGUCUUCACUUUGCUGGUCACUAAAGGGGCCCCUGGUCAGCUUAAAACUUCCUCUGCUAGGAUGCUAAUGCUGAGGGUGCUGUCAAUAAAGAUUAGCACUGAGCUGGGAUGUUAGAAGUCAAGUCCAGGCAAUCUGCAGAGUUUGCUUUGUAACUGAAAUCACAUCCAUUUGCCACAAGCUGGAUGGAAAAUGGUCUUUCAUCUCUUCAGUUAAGGGACAGAGGCCUGCUCAAUUUGAC